ensembl:lncRNA
GGUGGAUAAUUGACUGAAACGUGCCAGCUAAACUGAGUUUUUAUGGAUGUAAAGAAGGACAUUAUUGAACAAAAGGACCAUUUGUGAUGUAUCUGGGACCUUUUGGAAUGCCAACAGAAGAAGAUCAUCAAAACAGAAGAGAUGGACGAGGAAAUACUCUUGCUUUUGGAUGACUUGACUAUAUCCUGAAGUUAAAGAAGAACAUACAAGCAUUACACACAAGUCAAAUGUAAGAGGGCAGCCCAGAUGACCAAGUGGCUGAACAACAUCUGGCCGGCAAACCCAGGUAAAUCAGAGGUGAUCUGCCAUGCAGGGAAAACAAAGACAUGGAGCAGAGAGCUACCCUUCAGCCAAUGGUAGCUGGUCCCCUACAGGACGGUGAGGUGCCGGAGGUCCCUCCUCCCCCUCUGGACAUCGAGGGGUCCCCGGCAUAUACGAUACGGGCCAUUCUGGACUCUAGACGCCGGGUGAGGGGCCUGCAGUACCUCGUGGACUGGGAGGGGUACGGUCUAGAGGAGAGGUGCUGGGUACCAGUGGGGGACAUUUUGGAUCCGUCAAUGUUGAGGGAUUUCCAUCGCCUCCAUCCAGAUCGCCCUGCGCUUCAUCCUCCGGAUCGACCUCGAGGCCGGUGUCGGCGCGCGUCAGGGGGGUUUACUGUCACAACUCCGACCGAAGGUGGCUCCCCUUCCCGGCGGUCAUCGUCGCAGGCCUACUAGCUGCCACUGAUUAUUUUCUCCCCCUCCUUAUGUGUUUAUUGAGUACACCUGUUUUGAGUUGGUUAUAAUUAGGGAGGCUUUAUUAGUCAGCCGGCCCACCUGGUUCUUUGUGCAGGAUUGAUUGUUGUAACCCUGGUGUUUGCAUUAGAUGUACAUGUUCAUGUAUUUAGUGCUAGACUGUUUUUGUUUCCCUGUGUCUGGGGCAUUUGGUUUAAGCACCCGUAAGUGGGGUGACCAUAGUUCACCGUGUGUGCAUUAAAAAAAAGCACUUUAUUGAA